rnacentral:rRNA from 2 species
GCCCCCGACUCUGGGAUAAGCCCGGGAAACUGGGUCUAAUACCGGAUAUGACCUCGCACCGCAUGGUGCGGGGUGGAAAGAUUUAUCGGUGGGGGAUGGACUCGCGGCCUAUCAGCUUGUUGGUGAGGUAAUGGCUCACCAAGGCGACGACGGGUAGCCGGCCUGAGAGGGUGACCGGCCACACUGGGACUGAGACACGGCCCAGACUCCUACGGGAGGCAGCAGUGGGGAAUAUUGCACAAUGGGCGCAAGCCUGAUGCAGCGACGCCGCGUGAGGGAUGACGGCCUUCGGGUUGUAAACCUCUUUCAGUAGGGAAGAAGCGAAAGUGACGGUACCUGCAGAAGAAGCGCCGGCUAACUACGUGCCAGCAGCCGCGGUAAUACGUAGGGCGCAAGCGUUAUCCGGAUUUAUUGGGCGUAAAGAGCUCGUAGGCGGUUUGUCGCGUCUGCCGUGAAAGUCCGAGGCUCAACCUCGGAUCUGCGGUGGGUACGGGCAGACUAGAGUGAUGUAGGGGAGACUGGAAUUCCUGGUGUAGCGGUGAAAUGCGCAGAUAUCAGGAGGAACACCGAUGGCGAAGGCAGGUCUCUGGGCAUUUACUGACGCUGAGGAGCGAAAGCAUGGGGAGCGAACAGGAUUAGAUACCCUGGUAGUCCAUGCCGUAAACGUUGGGCACUAGGUGUGGGGGACAUUCCACGUUUU